GAGUUUGAUCUUGGCUCAGAGUGAACGCUGGCGGCAGGCCUAACACAUGCAAGUCGAGCGGCAGCACGGGUAGCAAUACCUGGUGGCGAGCGGCGGACGGGUGAGGAAUACAUCGGAAUCUGCCUUGUCGUGGGGGAUAACGUAGGGAAACUUACGCUAAUACCGCAUACGACCGAGAGGUGAAAGCGGGGGAUCGCAAGACCUCGCGCGACAAGAUGAGCCGAUGUCGGAUUAGCUAGUUGGCGGGGUAAGAGCCCACCAAGGCGACGAUCCGUAGCUGGUCUGAGAGGAUGAUCAGCCACACUGGAACUGAGACACGGUCCAGACUCCUACGGGAGGCAGCAGUGGGGAAUAUUGGACAAUGGGCGCAAGCCUGAUCCAGCCAUGCCGCGUGGGUGAAGAAGGCCUUC
rnacentral:rRNA from 1 species